AAAAAUCUGUAUUAUUUGUUGAAAUUUCUCUUGAAAAUUAUGUUGUGAAUAUUUUUUCCGAAUAAAUCUAACUAAGAAACAUUCAUAUAGUAAAGUUCAGCUUAAAGCUACAAUCAACGUUAAUACGAGUAAUAUUCAGUAAACUUAUAUUGUUUUAAUCCUUACAAAAUUAAAAAAAAAAUAUUCCAACAUGAAGUUUUAUGUAGUUUUCAUGUUCGUGUUCUUAAUUUUAGCAGUCUUUGCCACUAAAGCUAAAGCUGAUUUGAUGAAUUCUGUAUUUGAGGGCCUUAGCAAACCUCUUAAAGAAGUACCCGAAAAAGUUCUUGGCAUGGUAAAACAAGUAGGAGAUGCGGUACCAAAAAUGUAAAUGUUUUCAAAAUUAAUAAAAAAAAAUAAUUUCAUUAUAUGUUUAAA